rnacentral:rRNA from 1 species
AUUGAACGCUGGCGGCAGGCUUAACACAUGCAAGUCGAGCGAGUGGCGGACGGGUGAGUAAUGCCUGGGAAUCUGCCUUAUGGAGGGGGAUAACUACUGGAAACGGUAGCUAAUACCGCAUACCAUCAGAUGCGCCCAGAUGGGAUUAGCUAGUUGGUGGGGUAAUGGCUCACCUAGGCGACGAUCCCUAGCUGGUCUGAGAGGAUGACCAGCCACACUGGAACUGAGACACGGCCCCGACUCCUACGGGAGGCAGCAGUGGGGAAUAUUGCACAAUGGGCGCAAGCCUGAUGCAGCCAUGCCGCGUGUGUGAAGAAGGCCUUCGGGUUGUAAAGCACUUUCAGCGAGGAGGCGUUAAUCGCAGAAGAAGCACCGGCUAACUCCGUGCCAGCAGCCGCGGUAAUAC